UACGUAGGGUGCGAGCGUUGUCCGGAAUUAUUGGGCGUAAAGGGCUCGUAGGCGGUCUGUCGCGUCGAAAGUGAAAACCCAGGGCUUAACCCUGGGCCUGCUUCCGAUACGGGCAGACUAGAGGUAUGCAGGGGAGAACGGAAUUCCUGGUGUAGCGGUGAAAUGCGCAGAUAUCAGGAGGAACACCGGUGGCGAAGGCGGUUCUCUGGGCAUUACCUGACGCUGUGGAGCGAAAGUGUGGGGAGCAAACGGG
rnacentral:rRNA from 1 species